UACAGAGGCCUCGAGCGUUAGGCGGAAUCACUGGGCUUAAAGCGUGUGUAGGCGGAGCCGUAAGUGCCUUGUGAAAUCCCACAGCUCAACUGUGGAACUGCUUGGCAUACUGCGGUUCUUGAGCCACCUAGAGGCGAGCGGAACAAACGGUGGAGCGGUGAAAUGCGUAGAUAUCGUUUGGAACGCCAAUGGUGAAAACAGCUCGCUGGGGGUGUGCUGACGCUGAGACACGAAAGCCAGGGGAGCAAACGGG
rnacentral:rRNA from 1 species